GGGUUGUGAGGUUAAGCGACUAAGCGUACACGGUGGAUGCCCUGGCAGUCAGAGGCGAUGAAGGACGUGCUAAUCUGCGAUAAGCGCCGGUAAGGUGAUAUGAACCGUUAUAACCGGCGAUUUCCGAAUGGGGAAACCCAGUGUGACUCGUCACACUAUCAUUAACUGAAUCCAUAGGUUAAUGAGGCGAACCGGGGGAACUGAAACAUCUAAGUACCCCGAGGAAAAGAAAUCAACCGAGAUUCCCCCAGUAGCGGCGAGCGAACGGGGAGGAGCCCAGAGCCUGAAUCAGCAUAUGUGUUAGUGGAAGCGUCUGGAAAGGCGCGCGAUACAGGGUGACAGCCCCGUACACAAAAGCGCAUGUGCUGUGAGCUCGAUGAGUAGGGCGGGACACGUGGUAUCCUGUCUGAAUAUGGGGGGACCAUCCUCCAAGGCUAAAUACUCCUGACUGACCGAUAGUGAACCAGUACCGUGAGGGAAAGGCGAAAAGAACCCCGGCGAGGGGAGUGAAAAAGAACCUGAAACCGUGUACGUACAAGCAGUGGGAGCCCCACCACUAAGCCAGUGGUGAACUCCACAUACGCAUCCUUUGCUGAGGAUACGGUUAACGGAGCGAAAGCGACGUUCAACCUCAAAAGAAGCAGAGGGGGCUUAGUGGUGGGGUGACUGCGUACCUUUUGUAUAAUGGGUCAGCGACUUAUAUUCUGUAGCAAGGUUAACCGUAUAGGGGAGCCGGAGGGAAACCGAGUCUUAAC
rnacentral:rRNA from 1 species